rnacentral:rRNA from 1 species
UAGGGAAUCUUCCGCAAUGGGCGAAAGCUUGACGGAGCAACGCCGCGUGAGUGAUGAAGGUCUUCGGAUCGUAAAACUCUGUUAUUAGGGAAGAACAAAUGUGUAAGUAACUAUGCACGUCUUGACGGUACCUAAUCAGAAAGCCACGGCUAACUACGUGCCAGCAGCCGCGGUAAUACGUAGGUGGCAAGCGUUAUCCGGAAUUAUUGGGCGUAAAGCGCGCGUAGGCGGUUUUUUAAGUCUGAUGUGAAAGCCCACGGCUCAACCGUGGAGGGUCAUUGGAAACUGGAAAACUUGAGUGCAGAAGAGGAAAGUGAAAUUCCAUGUGUAGCGGUGAAAUGCGCAGAGAUAUGGAGGAACACCAGUGGCGAAGGCGACUUUCUGGUCUGUAACUGACGCUGAUGUGCGAAAGCGUGGGGAUCAAACAGG